GACAGCAUUUUGGGAUUGUCUCAGCCCCAGAGCUGUUCAUGCAACAGUAAAGCUGCUUGAGCUGUUGAGGCAACAGUAAAGCAGCACUGAAGGUGUCAUGUGACCUUCCCAUGAUGAUGAUGUCAUAGGAAAGUGGAAAGGAUAUAUAUGAGUGACAGUAUAUAUAGGUAGGGCAGCACAGUGGCACAGUGGGUAGCACUGUGUCUUGCAGCUGGGAGUCCUGGGUUCAAAUCCAACCUGGGCCCUUUCUGUAAGGAGUUUGUAUGUUCUCCCUGUGUCUGUGUGGGUUUCCUCCGAGGACUUCGGUUUCCUCCCACAUUCCAAAAACAUACAAGAGACAGGUAGGGGGUCUCCCUGGUGCCCACAGGUGAAUGUGAUAGGUGCUGGGGCACUCCUGAGUGUGGCUAGGAGCAGCCAGGCUUAGGCGUGUGUAGGCCAUGGAUAAGAUAGGAUAGGUUAGCUAGAGGGAAGAAUUAGUUCCUGGGGAGGGGGGUCCCCUUU